UUUAAAUGUAAAUUUUUGAACUAAAUUAGUAAUAGAUAUGUUCUUCAAAUUUAAAGAUUUUGGCGGUAUUUUAGUCUAUUCAGAGGAACCUGUUCUGUAAUUGAUAGUCCACGAUUAACUUUACUUAAUUUUAAAAAUUUGUAUAUCGUUGUUUAUAGAAAAUUUUAUAAGAAAAAUAAUUUUUAAUAAAUUUUAUUAAAUUAUAAAUCAAAUCAAGGUGCAGUUUAUAGUUAAGGUAGAAAUGGGUUACAAUAAAUUUAUUUAUUAAUGGAUAUAAAUUUUAAAAUUUUAUUAAAGGUGGAUUUGAUAGUAAUAUUAUUUAUUUUAAUAAUAUGAUUAUAGCUCUAAAAUAUGU
rnacentral:rRNA from 2 species